rnacentral:SRP_RNA from 1 species
GCCAGGCACGGUGGCACGUGCCUGUAGUCCCAGCUACUCAGGUGGCUGAGGUGGGAGGACUGCUUGAGCCCAGGAGUUCUGGCCUGUAGUGCGCUAUGCCGAUCAGGUGUCCGCACUAAAUUCGGCAUCAAUAUGGUGACCUCCCAGGAGCGGGGGACCACCAGGUUGCCUAAGGAAGGGUGAACCCGCCAAGGUCGGAAACGGGGCAGGUCAAAACUCCCGUGCUGGUCAGUAGUGGGAUCGAGCCUGUGAAUAGCCACUGCACUCCAGGCUGGGUAACAUAGCAGGACCCUGUCUCA